rnacentral:rRNA from 1 species
AUUGAACGCUGGCGGCAUGCCUUACACAUGCAAGUCGAACGGUAACGGGCCUUCGGGUGCCGACGAGUGGCGAACGGGUGAGUAAUACAUCGGAACGUGCCCGAUCGUGGGGGAUAACGAGGCGAAAGCUUUGCUAAUACCGCAUACGAUCUACGGAUGAAAGCAGGGGACCACAAGGCCUUGCGCGGACGGAGCGGCCGAUGGCAGAUUAGGUAGGUGGUGGGAUAAAAGCUUACCAAGCCGACGAUCUGUAGCUGGUCUGAGAGGAUGAUCAGCCACACUGGGACUGAGACACGGCCCAGACUCCUACGGGAGGCAGCAGUGGGGAAUUUUGGACAAUGGGCGCAAGCCUGAUCCAGCCAUGCCGCGUGCAGGAUGAAGGCCUUCGGGUUGUAAACUGCUUUUGUACGGAACGAAAAGCCUUCUUUUAAUACAGGAGGGUCAUGACGGUACCGUAAGAAUAAGCACCGGCUAACUACGUG